rnacentral:piRNA from 1 species
UGUCUUCGUUAUUUGUGUAGGGAAGUUGUG